rnacentral:lncRNA from 1 species
GUUUUACUGUGUUAGCCAGGAUGGUCUCGGUCUCCUGACCUCGUGAUCUACCCGCCUCAGCCUCCCAAAGUGUUGGGAUUACAGGCAUGAGCCACCGCGCCCAGCCGUCUUGUCAAAAUACUCUAAGACUUCAUCUGUUUAGAAUCAAAAGUGCGGAAGACCUGGGAAUUAUGUAAUAAGGAUAGCAGAAUAAUCCUCGUCACUGACAGGUGGUGAGCUGUAAAGUGUUCUUUUGUUGCAGUGGCAGAGAUUUCAGCAAUGGAGGGAAAUCCAGUGGCCAAGAUGCUUACCUGUCUCGGUGUCCAGCAUGUGUCCUGGAGGAGUGCCCCUAAAGCACCUUCAGCUGUUUAUUUAAACACUUGACUCCAGGCUCUGAUGCAUUUUAAUUUUUCAACAUUUAAAUUUAGCUGUUUUAAUGAGGUUUUAGUUUUAAUAAGUAACAAAAGAUUUUUUC